GCCGGAGUGGCGGAACUGGUAGACGCGGGGGACUUAAAAUCCCCGGUCCCUCGGGGCGUGCGGGUUCGAAUCCCGCCUCCGGCU
rnacentral:tRNA from 1 species